AGUCACCAACUUGUUCCACGUAGAACGCAAAAAACGCCUAAACAUUUGGUUGAAAAUGGUAGAUCUAAACGAUCCUAAAUCACCCGAAAGCUUUAAAGUUGAUGUACAAUUUCUACUUCUACCUGGAUUUAUUUUAGCUACUCUAGUAGGAAUAUUUAUUUACAAAAUAAUUAAAGCAAACAAAGAUAGGGAAUCAGCAAAGGUUGAAAAGCGAAAGUUGAAGCAAGAAAAGAAAAAGAAAUAGACACCGUCACAAAARAGAGAAUACAAUAUAGUUUUGAAAUUUUACUAUACAGAAAGCAUCAUGUAUAACGACAUUAUAUUGAUUUAAAAACUUCACAAUCAGUGAUAAGAUAUUAUCAACAAAAGGGAAAACUUUGAUCGAGCACAUUUACACCAUCUUGUGCCGACGACUGAAGAAUAAGUGAUAUUUGUAAAAUUAUAUGGAAACCUCUGGCCAGAUUGUUUCUAAAACAAAAUUUAUCUCACAGCAUUGGUGARUUCUUUCUUAGAAUUAUUGGCUCUUGCUAAUCCUGUACAAGUGGAAACUUUAAUGAAGAAUACAGUCAUUUUUAAAUUUAAAAAUUAAGCUACAAAAAAC